AACAGUAUUCAUGCAGUAAAACCACUCCUGCUCUCAGGAAAACAAAAUGACAGUUAAAAGGGUCAGACAGAGUUUGAAAAUAUGACAGUUAUAAGGUCAGACAGAGUUUGAAAAUAUGACAGUUAUAAGGUCAGACAGAGUUUGAAAAUAUGACAGUUAUAAGGUCAGACAGAGUUUGAAAAUAUGACAGUUAUCAAGGGUUUAAACUGGUGUUCUAAGAGGGGGGAGAACAAAACAGUCGAACUAAGUCCAUAAAACAGGGGCCUUCUUCACAGUCAUAUUGGCUGCUUAUGCCUCUGCUGGAAAUUAAGUGUCAGUUCUUCUGCUUAGAUAUAAUUUUCCAAGAGAUAAUUACCACCUUACAUAUGUUUCUUUUUGUGCUGUGCCUGUACUGUAUUCUAUACUGAAUAAAAUCAAAGCAUAGCAUUCCUCACUGCAAAAUACAUUUGACACAAGAUAUGAGGUUUAAAAACACAAAAUUCAGCAUAUAAGGAUUAAGAUCCCAUAGGCAUGUUACCAGUUUGGGCCCCCUUUUCAUUCUACUCGUAGGGAUGGUUAAUAAGGCCAGGUGAAUCCAUGGUUCUGAGGCCCCUGUCUUACCCCAUGGCCAUUGGUGGCAGCUUUUGGUUGUGUUAUGGUUAAUCCUGCUUUGAAGCUAUGGGAAUGAUAGUAGUACUAAAAGUUAAAAAUUCUUCACAUGGAAUUCCUUAGUCCCAUCACUCUUCUUUUGUUUGUGGGUUGGGGGACAUGGUGCCUCAGAGAUCCCAGAAGAUAUUCAAAUUCAAAACCUACAGGGCUGAAGUGAUGUUGGAGCUAAUCACGAUUUAUAUUGUAGUGUAAACGUUAUCAUGGCUCAACUAUCAAAAGUAUACUCCAUUAGAACUUGGCGAAAUGAAAUCACAACUUCCUACAAGCACGUUUAUGUAUAAAUAUCCCAGUUUGUACAUAGAAUAGACUUUAAGAGCAGGAUAAUAGAUCGCAGAGUUAAACACAAACAAUGAGCAGGCACGGAGAACAUAGAAAGCUGAGGUCUAACUCGAUUGAUUCGAUGCUGAUGAUUUGGGAACAAAAUAUGAGCCCUGAUGAUAGCUGAGUAUUACGCACACUCUGUCAGUGGGUUAAUAACCUUUUUCAACAGGUACCCAAAAUACAUGGAAGCAGCCUGGAGAGCCCACAAGAACUCAUGCACAGACUAACUAUAGAACAAUAAGAGACACAUACAGUGACAUUAUAAGGCACUUAGACACACUAGCUCAUUUAUACAACCAGAGAUUAAUGCUAACAAACACACGCACGCAUGCAUGCACACAAACACACACACACACAUAUAUACAUAUACUAACACACAUACAUAGACACACAUGCCUUUGCUCAGCUUUCAGAUAUGUCAGUGUAUGAGCCUAGAUGAUCAUGGUGCUCCUGACCAAUCGGUGUGACCACUGGCAGGCCUGGGGGACAGUGGCUUUAUGUAUGGGGAUUGUCAUUUAGAAUAGUGACAUCAUUUACAUUGUAUUAUUGACAUAGUGCCAUAUUGCUAUUUACAUAUUAUUCAUCAUAAGUGCUUAGUAAUUUAUUACUACAAUAAUGCUGGACACCUGAAUUUUCCUAUGAUAUACACAUCCCGUACAGCAUAAUAUAUAAGGGACAAACUAUUUUCUGGUUCAGUUGGUUUCACUCUUAUAUUUUCAGACUUUUUAUCUCUUCUCCUCACACACCAUCUCUUUCAAACUUCAAAACCUCCUUGCUUAGACAACUGCUGACUGCAGCGAAGGCCUUGAUCCCCUGCAUUGGAGAGAAACCACUGCCGCCUCUUUUUGAGAGUGGGUAAGCAAGUAGGUGAGAUUCCAAAUAUGGAGCUUGUCUAUGGUUCCACUGGGACCAGUCCUAGAAUACGAUGCCUUACUUUCCAUGACUUCUCAACUGUAUCAUGUCUGAACACCUCGUCAUAUCUCAUGCCAUCAUAUAUAGGAUCUGAUUCUUUUUUUACCCUAAUUUUUUGCUUUCUAUUGACUAAUAUUCUCAAUUUAAAAAGUUGUAUGUCUAUCCCUAUGAUAUUGGAUAAUAAUCAGAGCAGUAUUAAACAAAAGGUAACCCUAGAUGGCUGCCUAGGACCCAGGGGAUAGACAGGGCCCAUGGGGCCCAUUAACCAUCUGUAACCUGCUCAGGCUGCCAUGGGAUCUUAAUCCUUAUCUGAUAAUAUCUCACCUUUACCCACUUCAUUCCUCCCUAUCUCAUUCUUCACUCAUUUGCCUUGUCCAUUGUCCCCUCUAAAAUGUAAUAUUCCGCUGAUAUUGACCAACGCUCUAAUACUGUUUUAUGAUCAUUAAUACAUAUAUAGGUAUAUCAUAUAAACAGAGAUAUAAAAGUCAUAAUAAAAGCAAGUAACCAAGCAUCAGGCUGCAUCACCUGAUGGUAUAAUAUGUUUAAAGCACUAAAUUAAAAUAGGUUUCUUAAGCCAAUCUUCAUAAUUGAAAACAUUAAUAAAUACAAUUAUAAAUAUGCUUGACUGAAACGCAGAUUUGACACAAUGAAUGGAAUAUAAUUAGUACAGUUUUGUUAAAUAAUGAUAUCUACACUAAUGCCAAAUUCAUGCAUACAGUGGAAAAUAUCUACCGAAAAUAUUGGUGAAAUAAACGAAUUUAUCCUUGAAGAAUACCAACUGAUGUUCUCUUCAGAAACCACAAGGUGUCACAGCAAUCUAUUCUAUCUAGCAGGUGAAAGAAGAGGGAACAUUUUAAGAAAACGUGUAUUACAGAUAACCGCAAACAUAAAUGAAAUAUACACUGUGACAAACUGUCCCCUUCUACCAUGCCUGCUGCUCUAUUAGCCCAGAAACAUAUAAUAUAUAUAUAUAUAUAUAUAUAUAUAUAUAUAUAUAUAUAUAUAUAUUGUGAUAAAGUGAAGGCAGAUAGGCCUAUAACAUUUAACCCCAGGGGAAGUAUGUGUAGUAUGUGUUGUAGGCAACACAAACCAAAGUUUAGUUAUGGGCCCCUGGGGUGCAGCAUUUGGAGAGCAGGGUGGGCCAAUGCUCCACUCCGCAGUUUGCAUACAACUGGGAGAAAUAAGUUCCAGGCCAGAGUGUUGAUCUGUCUUCAACCCACUGCUCAGCUGCAGAUAAUCAGCUGCAGCAGUGGGAAUAAACCCCUCCCUGCUAGGCAGGUAAAGGGGGAUUGUUGGCUUCCUCCCUGGAAGCAGGUAGGAGAGACGCUGCUCGAGAGAGAGAGAGAGAGAGAGAGAGAGUGUGUCAAGGAGACUGAGCACUGUGUGUGCAGAAGGAAAGCAAUUAAGGCUGGCUUGGAGCACUGGGAGUGCAGAAGGAAGCAGUCAAGGCUGGCUUGGAGGACUGGGAGUGCAGAAAGGAAAGCAGCAGGCUAACUGAGAGCACUGGAGUGCAGAAAGGAGAGAGAAUUUUGUUUCUUUCUAGAAGGAAUGGAAGCCACAUGCUAACUGAGUGUGGAAUGCAGGGAUCUGACAAAGGCACUAGGUUGGUGAAACCAAUUCUUGUUCUGUUAUAGUUUAAACCCUUGAGAGAUAGGGAACCUGAUGUUAGUUAGUGCUCAGACCGAGCUAGGGUUUUGUUUAUAGGGAUUUGUGUUACUGUUUUUUUUUCAUUUGCUGCUGUAUCUGUGGUGGAGUUUAACAAUAAAGUGCUGGAAUUAAGUUG